UACGUAAGUGGCGAGCGUUGUCCGGAUUUAUUGGGUUUAAAGGGUGCGUAGGCGGUCCUAUAAGUCAGUGUUGAAAUAUCGCAGCUCAACUGUGAGGGUGCCAUUGAUACUGUAGGACUUGAGUGAAUUUGAGGUAGGCGGAAUUGACGGUGUAGCGGUGAAAUGCUUAGAUAUCGUCAAGAACACCGAUAGUGAAGACAGCUUACCAAGCUUCAACUGACUCUGAGGCACGAAAGUGUGGGGAUCAAACAGG
rnacentral:rRNA from 1 species